CUUCCUUUUCUCUUCCUUUUUCCUUUCUUUUCUUUUCUUUUCUUUUUCUCUCCCUUUUUCAGUGGACACUAGCAGCCCCCUUCUCCUUCUCUUUUCCUUUUUCCUUUCUUUCCUCUCUCCUCUCCCUCUCACGCACAACCCAGCCCCUUCCCCCUCUUCCUUCUUCCUCUCUUCGUCUCUCUCUCACACUCACGCACACACAUGGACCUGAGAGAGAGAGUGUUGAGCCGAAAAUGGAGGGUGAGCACUGGAGAACACAAGGUUGAGAGGGAGAGCCCGAGAAUGAAAGAGAAGAAGAAGAAGAGAGAAUCCGGCCUGGGCUUUAAGAGAUGAUGUUCUUUUGGCUUCAGGUAUUCCGGUCGUAGUUGAUGGUAUUGUAGAAAUAUACUUGGAAUAUUAUGACUGAAGCUCGCUGCGACGGCUGUAAUUGUCAGACCAUGGGUUGUCCACUAUUUUAUGGGUUUGUUUAUGGCUCUUGACGCUUGUGUCACUUAAUCUUUGUUAAGUCAUUUCUAUGAUGUAUUUAUUAUGAGGAAAGACUUAAAUAGAUAGAUGUAAUAUGGCUCUUUGUUUAUGAUUAUUUAUAAUAGAGGUUUAUGUUA